rnacentral:lncRNA from 1 species
CCGUUUUUCAAAGCAAAUAAAGAAGCAGGACUGUUUAUAUUCUAAAUAUAUUAUUUCCACUCUUGUUUGUCUAAAUGUCAUUAGAGGAGAUGCCUUAUCUGAUACCAUUCUCCUUCUGCUAGAAACAGCUAGCGUGUUUGUUUUUGGCAGACAGAGCUGCUCAGAGCAUCAGGACAAGCUGCAGGUGCUAUCAGAGAGCGUUUUACUUCAAGUGAUGACUGGCAUCAAGAGACGUAGCCGGGAUGUCCUUCCCUCUGCACGGCCGCCGAAGGAAGGAUGCAGCGUACUGGGGAGUUCAGUGGUGUUGAAGACAACCCUGACCAUUUCCGAGCACCUCGUGGGAGGCCGAGGAGGAGCGGGAAGCAGAGCUGAGCAUCACUGCCCUGCAGCCCUGCCUGGCUGCUGCCAGCAUUACCCCUGCCUGCCCUCCAGCUGCACGACGCAAAGCCCAUGCAGAACUGCCAUGGCAGGUAGGCAACUUUCAGCCCAGUCUAAAGUAAAUCUGAUUCCUGAAGGUGAAGAAGGUUAA